ACAGAGGGUGCGAGCGUUAAUCGGAAUUACUGGGCGUAAAGCGCACGUAGGCGGCUUGGUAAGUUGGAUGUGAAAUCCCCGGGCUCAACCUGGGAACUGCGUUUGAUACGGAUGGGCUAGAGUUCGGGAGAGGAGCGUGGAAUUCCCAGUGUAGAGGUGAAAUUCGUAGAUAUUGGGAAGAACACCGGUGGCGAAGGCGGCGCUCUGGACCGAGACUGACGCUGAGGCGCGAAAGCGUGGGGAGCAAACAGGA
rnacentral:rRNA from 1 species